UAAAACCAGCACCUCAAGUGGUCAGGAUGAUUAUUGGGCCUAAAGCAUCCGUAGCCUGCUUUGUUAGUUUUCGGUUAAAUCCAUAUGCUCAACGUAUGGGCUGCCGGGAAUACUGCAAAGCUAGGGAGUGGGAGAGGUAGACGGUACUCGGUAGGAAGGGGUAAAAUCCUUUGAUCUAUUGAUGACCACCUGUGGCGAAGGCGGUCUACCAGAACACGUCCGACGGUGAGGGAUGAAAGCUGGGGGAGCAAACCGGAUUAGAUACCCGGGUAGUCCCAGCUGUAAACUAUGCAAACUCGGUGAUGCAUUGGCUUGAUGCCAAUGCAGUGCCGCAGGGAAGCCGUUAAGUUUGCCGCCUGGGAAGUACGUACGCAAGUAUG
rnacentral:rRNA from 1 species